rnacentral:lncRNA from 1 species
UUGCAUGUUUUGGUUAUUGGAGUUAAUGUCUGAAUUUUAUUUUCACUUAAUUUUAUGUUUUCAGGGAUACAGGAAUAGAAUUAAAAAUGCCCCCAAAAAGUUGCUUCUGGGAAUUUUUUGAAAAACUUGAAAAUAACGAAGCCAAAUGUCGAUCUUGCCAUAAAUUCAUAAAAACUUGUGGCAACACUAAAAAUCUAAAGUUACACAUUGAAAAAAUGCAUAGCUCAUUAUUAGGGAAACAUAGCAACGACGAGAACACAGUUCAUAAAACAGGCGCAAAGAAAUUACGUAAGGAGACUGAAUUUAGUAGCUCAAAAAUCGAUUGCAAAAACAAAGCAAUUACCAGAAUUGAUUGCAUCUGUUAAAAGGAUUGUCACCUGGUUCAAGCAGAGUGUUGUGGCGAGUGAUGAAUUACGAAAGGAUUCUGAUCUAAACAAUACAAGAUGUCAGCAAUCGCUGGAAUUCCACCUUUUAUAUGGUGGAAAGAUUUUUACAUCUGUGACCAACGAUUAAACAAAUUGUUAAUUGCCAUACAAGUGCUCCUCCAAUGAUAACUGCAAAAGGUAUUGAAGAGUUAACUGAAAUCUUUGAGAUUUUACGCCCUAUAGAAGUUGCUACUAAAGAAAUAUGUGGAGAAGACUAUGUUACUAGCAGCAAAGUCAUUCCCAUAGUACGAAUGCUAAAUUAAAAAAUGAAUAACAUCAAAACAAACAGUUCUUUGGGUCAGGAUCUUUACCAGAGCAUAAUAUCUGAAAUCAGUAAAUGCUUUUUACCCUCUGAACAUGUUCAAAUACUUGCUGUAUCUACAUUGCUAGACCCAAGAUUUAAAAACAUUCAUUUUCAAGAUCCCAUAGCAUGUUCAAAAGCAAUUAAAUGUGUCAAAGAAUAACUAAAUACUACGACGGAAACAGAAGUAAUUGAAGAAGUUAUUAGUUGUUCGCCAGAUACAACAGAAGAAUUUAAUUUGUGGAGCGAACAUUAUAAACUUGUAGAUGACAAAAACUCUACGCCUUUGUCUAGUGAUCACGAAAUGCCUUCAGAGAUGAGUUACUUUUUGAAAUAUCCAGUGUCUGAUCUUUAACAAGAUCCUCUCCAAGUUUGGAAUAAUGUCAUCGGUUCCACUUACCCGAAAUUAAAAAAAAUAGCGGUAAAAUAUUUGAGUACUAUCGCGACAUCAACACCACCCGAAAGACUGUUUUCAAAAGCUGGUUCUACUCUUUAUCAACAAAGAAACCGAUUAAAAGGUUCUUCUUUAUCAAAAUUACUUUUUCUUUAGUCAAUUAAUAAAAAAUAUUGGGAUUUGUAAUAAUUUGAUCUGUUGCUUAAUAAAUUUCGAACUUAUAGAUUGUGUCCAACAUCGAUGUCAACAUCGAUGUUUUUUGAAUAUCGAUCAUCCCUACCUCAGAUACCAACGCAUUGAGAUUUUACAACUGUUUAUACACAUACGUACACACCAUAGAUACUCUCCCUACAAGAAUUGAAUGAUAGAAACUAACACAAUAGCAAUUUUCUCUCUGAGCUCUUGGAAGGUUAUAAUUGGGAUGGCAGGUGGAGCAAGAAAUUCCUAUGCAAGUUGGCGCUGGUUGAUACCAUUUUAAGAAAUGUGUUUCAACAACAAGGGUGUAGGAGUUUCGAGCAAAAUAUAAAGCGGUCAAUACUGCUCAGCCAUCACAGGUUAAAGCACCGUAGUUAAUU